rnacentral:misc_RNA from 1 species
GAUGAGGAACGCAGCGAAAUGCGAUAAGUAGUGUGAAUUGCAGAAUUCAGUGAAUCAUCGAAUCUUUGAACGCACAUUGCGCCCCUUGGUAUCCCGAGGGGCAUGCCUGUUCGAGCGUCAUUUCACCACUCAAGCCUGGCUUGGUGUUGGGCGACGUCCCCUUUGGGGACGCGCCUCGAAACGCUCGGCGGCGUGGCACCGGCUUUAAGCGUAGCAGAAUCUUUCGCUUUGGAAGUCGGGGCCCCGUCUGCCGGAAGACCUACACGCAAGGUUGACCUCGGAUCAGGCAGGGAUACCCGCUGAACUUAAGCAUAUCAAUAAGCGGAGGA